rnacentral:lncRNA from 1 species
CUCAUCUCAAAGACAAUUAAUAGCCUGUGGUCUCCACAUAAACAGCAACAAGACAAGGACUCACAGGCUUUGGACAGCUAAGUAGCAGAUCUGCUGAGAAGUGUUCAGGCAUGAACAGCAAUUGCAAGACAGCUAACCUGAAGACAUUCAACUGCCUUUUGCUACAUGAAGGUCCUGUUUYCCUCCCUUUGGCAAUUAUACCAAUGUCCUGGAAGAAUUCUCUAAUGCUGACUAACAUCUUCUAUUUUACAUCUGCAAGUACAGGGCACUUCAUUAUGUGCAGGAACUGAAAUGCUUAAAUGGAUGAAGCAGCUAUUUACGUCUGAUAGGAGCUAAGUGGGACAUUAAAUUAAUGCCAAACAAGUGAGUGCUCAUUUUAGUUUCGUUAUAAAUGGCUGCAGCAAAGCAGUAAUGUGUUGACUCUCCUGUGCUGACAAGUACURUAUUUCUUACAAACUUCCCUUAGAACUCAAUGUGGAAAGACAAAUUCACACUCUGCAUGAUAAAAUUAGCAGUAGAUACAUUAAUAAUUGAAUAAGGAUCUCUGGGGAAACACCAUAGUUUACCAGGAGAGUUGGUGACUGACUGGUUUUAAGAAGAGGCUCCUGUCAUUACUAUGCACUCACAUAAGCCCAAGGUAAGAGCCACUGCUUCUGGCCUUUGGUAUCAAAUCCACUUCCUGCUUUUAGGAGACCUCAGCUUACUUCCAUAAUAAGCAUUCUGCAGAUCCRUGAGCAGACUGCCUACAAUUAAUCUUGGCAGUGUAUGGACUUGCUCGUCUAUGGUUCCUCUGGGACUGUUCUCAAACUUACAGUCAAAUUCAAGACAGUCCCUUUUCACUGUCUCCAGACGAUGACUGGAGUAUGAGUGAAUGAAGGACUUUCUCACUGUAUGACAAGACUCUUGCCAUAUGUCUCCAWAUCUUCAGUUCAUACAAAGCUGAAACAUUUUCCUGAAGAGGAAAACCCACUGGAAGGGCCAACUUCUGUCAGAAAAGCAUUAAGUGAGCAUACUGCCAUCUUCAUUUCCAUCCCUGUAAGCAAAGCUGAGGUCCUUUGAAUGACUCACAGGCAUAGCAUGCUUAACAUGCAUUCCACGUUUUGGGAGUGUGUGGGUAGGGCAGGAAGAAAGGACCUCCUCUCUUUUGGACAGUAGCAAAGAAAAUAAGAUGAUUUCUAGGAAAAAAACCUGCUUUUUACAGCCACCAACAAGGCCAUGAUGCAUUACUAAUACCAAAACUAUGAUCAUUCCUUACACCAAAUAAUUUUGUGUUCAAAGACAUUGGCA